CUCGUAGUUGAAUUUCGGGACCAGUAGGUUGGUCGUGCCUACGGUACGUACUGGCUUCACUGGUUCCUCCCUUCUGACAAACCAUGAUGCCAUUAAUUUGGUGUUGUGGGGAAUCAGGACUGUUACUGUGAAAAAAUUAGAGUGUUUAAAGCAGGCUUAAGCUUGAAUACAUUAGCAUGGAAUAAUGAAAUAGGACGUUUUGAUCUUAUUUUGUUGGUUUCUAAGAUCGACGUAAUGAUUAAUAGGGAUGGUCGGGGGCGUCAGUAUUCGGCUGUCAGAGGUGAAAUUCUUGGAUUUGCCGAAGACUAACUACUGCGAAAGCAUUCGCCAAGGAUGUUUUCAUUAAUCAGGGAACGAAAGUUAGGGGAUCGAAGACGAUCAGAUACCGUCGUAGUCUUAACCAUAAACUAUGCCGACUAGGGAUCGGACGGUGUUUCUAUUAUGACCCGUUCGGCGCCUUACGGGAAAC
rnacentral:rRNA from 2 species